GAUGAACGCUGGCGGUGUGCCUAAUACAUGCAAGUCGAACGCUGAAGGAAGGAGCUUGUUCUUUCCGGAUGAGUUGCGAACGGGUGAGUAACGCGUAGGUAACCUGCUUGGUAGUGGGGGAUAACUAUUGGAAACGAUAGCUAAUAAUGCAUAACAGUAGAUGCUGCAUGAUACCUACUUAAAAGGUGCAAUUGCACCACUACCAGAUGGAUGUGCGUUGUAUUAGCUAGUUGGUGAGGUACCGGCCCACCAAGGCGACGAUACAUAGCCGGCCUGAGAGGAUGACCAGCCACAUUGGACCUGAGAAACGGUCCAGACUCUUACGGGAGGAAGAAGAGGGGAAUAUUGGAAAAUGGCCGAAAUCUGGACGAAGAAAUCCGGGGUGGGUGAAGAAGUUUUCGGGGUGGUAAAGUCUGUUUGUUGGGAAAGAAAAGCAGCAGGUUAAUAACUUCAUGCUGUGACGGUACCUAACGAAUAAGCAACGGCUAACUUCGUG
rnacentral:rRNA from 1 species